GAUGAACGCUGGCGGCGUGCCUAAUACAUGCAAGUCGAGCGAACGGACGAGAAUCUUGCUUCUCUGAUGUUAGCGGCGGACGGGUGAGUCACACGUGGAUAACCUACCUAUAAGACUGGGAUAACUUCGGGAAACCGGAUCUAAUACCGGAUGAUAUUUUGAACCGCAUGGUUCAAAAGUGAAAGACGGUCUUGCUGUCACUUAUAGAUGGAUCCGCGCUGCAUUAGCUAGUUGGUAAGGUAACGGCUUACCAAGGCAACGAUGCAUAGCCGACCUGAGAGGGUGAUCGGCCACACUGGAACUGAGACACGGUCCAGACUCCUACGGGAGGCAGCAGUAGGGAAUCUUCCGCAAUGGGCGAAAGCCUGACGGAGCAACGCCGCGUGAGUGAUGAAGGUCUUCGGAUCGUAAAACUCUGUUAUUAGGGAAGAACAUAUGUGUAAGUAACUGUGCACAUCUUGACGGUACCUAAUCAGAAAGCCACGGCUAACUACGUG
rnacentral:rRNA from 1 species